UACUCUGAUGAAUCCAAAUAUUUGCUGUUUUUUCCGAGUCAAUCAUUGACGAAACAUAUAUUUCACCUUGGAGAACUGACCA
rnacentral:snoRNA from 1 species